GGAAUUUUCCGCAAUGGGCGAAAGCCUGACGGAGCAACGCCGCGUGAGGGAUGAAGGCCUCUGGGCUGUAAACCUCUUUUAUCAAGGAAGAAGAUCUGACGGUACUUGAUGAAUAAGCCACGGCUAAUUCCGUGCCAGCAGCCGCGGUAAUACGGGAGUGGCAAGCGUUAUCCGGAAUUAUUGGGCGUAAAGCGUCCGCAGGCGGUUUUGUAAGUCUGUCGUUAAAGCGUGGAGCUUAACUCCAUUUCAGCGAUGGAAACUGCAAGACUAGAGUGUGGUAGGGGCAGAGGGAAUUCCCGGUGUAGCGGUGAAAUGCGUAGAUAUCGGGAAGAACACCAGUGGCGAAGGCGCUCUGCUGGGCCAUAACUGACGCUCAUGGACGAAAGCCAGGGGAGCGAAAGGGAUUAGAUACCCCUGUAGUCCUGGCCGUAAACGAUGAACACUAGGUGUCGGGGGAAUCGACCCCCUCGGUGUCGUAGCCAACGCGUUAAGUGUUCCGCCUGGGGAGUACGCACGCAAGUGUGAAACUCAAAUGAAUUGACGG
rnacentral:rRNA from 1 species